UGGAUGACGCUGGCGGCGUGCUUACACAUGCAGUCGAACGAUGAAGCCCUGCUUGCAGGGUGGAUUAGUGGCGAACGGGUGAGUAACACGUGAGUAACCUGCCCCCGACUCUGGGAUAAGCCCGGGAAACUGGGUCUAAUACCGGAUAUGACUUCCUACUGCAUGGUGGGUUGUUGAAAGAUUUAUCGGUGGGGGAUGGACUCGCGGCCUAUCAGCUUGUUGGUGAGGUAAUGGCUCACCAAGGCGACGACGGGUAGCCGGCCUGAGAGGGUGACCGGCCACACUGGGACUGAGACACGGCCCAGACUCCUACGGGAGGCAGCAGUGGGGAAUAUUGCACAAUGGGCGGAAGCCUGAUGCAGCGACGCCGCGUGAGGGAUGACGGCCUUCGGGUUGUAAACCUCUUUCAGUAGGGAAGAAGCGAAAGUGACGGUACCUGCAGAAGAAGCGCCGGCUAACUACGUGCCAGCAGCCGCGGUAAUACGUAGGGCGCAAGCGUUAUCCGGAUUUAUUGGGCGUAAAGAGCUCGUAGGCGGUUUGUCGCGUCUGCCGUGAAAGUCCGAGGCUCAACCUCGGAUCUGCGGUGGGUACGGGCAGACUAGAGUGAUGUAGGGGAGACUGGAAUUCCUGGUGUAGCGGUGAAAUGCGCAGAUAUCAGAGGAACACCGAUGGCGAAGCAGGUCUCUGGGCAUUUACUGACGCUGAGGAGCGAAAGCAUGGGGAG
rnacentral:rRNA from 1 species